UUGCAGUGGUGACCAACUUAGGAGACCUUUGGAAUUAAACAUGACAACAGACAACACCUGAACUGU